UCUAAGUGUAAUUUUUUCCCAAAGUAGUAUUAGUUAAGUUCUUGAAAUUUAAAGAUUUUGGCGGUAUUUUAGUCUUUUCAGAGGAACCUGUUCUGUAAUUGAUAAUCCACGAUAAGAUUUACUUGUUUUAGAAAUUUAUAUAUCAUCGUUAUUUGAAUAUUUUAUAAGAAUUAAAUGUUCAAAAAUUUUAAUUUAAAUUUAAAUCAGAUCAAGGUGUAGUUUAUAAGCAAGAAGAAAUGGGUUACAUUAGAUUUAUUUAAUGGAUUUUAAUUCUUAAAGUUAUAUGAAAUUGGAUUUGAAAGUAAUUAUUUUUGUUUAUUUUUAAUGAUUUAGCUCUAAAAUAUGC
rnacentral:rRNA from 1 species